AUGGUUCAAGAUCGAAGUCUUUCAGAUUCGUGCAUGCAGCAGAUCUUGGAUCUUUCUGCUCGGCAUGGAUUCAUACAAGGAUUUCUCACGCUCCAUAACGAACUACACAUCGAGAUUCGCCUUCAGCAUUUCAUCAACAAAUUCUUACUCGAAGUGGAAGGCGGUAGAUCCCUGAACAAUUCUUUUGUACAUUGCAUGACUAUCAGUAAGUUUCACACUAACAGAAUGAGAAACGUAAACUAUCGCGCAAGACGUAUUCAACCAUUUUGA
rnacentral:lncRNA from 1 species